rnacentral:rRNA from 1 species
UACGGGGGGGGCAAGCGUUGUUCGGAAUUACUGGGCGUAAAGGGUUCGUAGGUGGCCAACUAAGUCAGACGUGAAAUCCCCCAGCUUAACUGGGGAACUGCGUCUGAGACUGGAUGGCUUGAGUGCAGGAGAGGAACGCGGAAUUCCAGGUGUAGCGGUGAAAUGCGUAGAUAUCUGGAGGAACACCGGUGGCGAAGGCGGCGUUCUGGACUGCUACUGACACUGAGGAACGAAAGCCAGGGGAGCAAACGGG